rnacentral:rRNA from 1 species
AUUGAACGCUGGCGGCAGGCCUAACACAUGCAAGUCGAACGAGUGGCGGACGGGUGAGUAAUGUCUGGGAAACUGCCCGAUGGAGGGGGAUAACUACUGGAAACGGGAGCUAAUACCGCAUACCAUCGGAUGUGCCCAGCUGGGAUUAGCUAGUAGGUGGGGGAACGGCUACCUGAGGCGACGAUCCCUAGCUGGUUUGAGAGGAUGACAAGCCACACUGGAACUGUGACACGGUCCAGACGCCUACGGGAGGCAGCAGUGGAGAAUAUUGCACAAUGGGCGCAAGCCUGAUGCAGCCAUGCCGCGUGUAUGAAGAAGGCCUUCAGGUUGUAGGGUACUUUCAGCGAGGAGGCGUUACUCGCAGAAGAAGCACCGGCUAACUCCGUGCCAGCAGCCGCGGUAAUUC